AGCGAACGCUGGCGGCAGGCCUAACACAUGCAAGUCGAGCGCCCGUAGCAAUACGGGAGCGGCAGACGGGAUAGUAACACGUGGGAACGUACCCUUCAGUUCGGAACAACCCAGGGAAACUUGGGCUAAUACCGAAUACGUCCGUAAGGAGAAAGAUUUAUCGCUGAAGGAUCGGCCCGCGUCUGAUUAGCUAGUUGGUGAGGUAAUGGCUCACCAAGGCGACGAUCAGUAGCNGGUCUGAGAGGAUGAUCAGCAUCACUGGGACUGAGACACGGCCCAGACUCCUACGGGAGGCAGCAGUGGGGAAUAUUGGACAAUGGGCGCAAGCCUGAUCCAGCCAUGCCGCGUGGAUGAUGAAGGCCCUAGGGUUGUAAAGUCCUUUCGGCGGGGAAGAUAAUGACGGUACCCGCAGAAGAAGCCCCGGCUAACUUCGUGCCAGCCGCCGCCGUAAC
rnacentral:rRNA from 1 species